rnacentral:rRNA from 1 species
AACGAACGCUGGCGGCGUGGAUUAGGCAUGCAAGUCGAACGUGAAAGCGCUUAAGGGGUAACCCGGCGGCGCGAGUAAAGUGGCGAACGGGUGAGUAACGCGUGGGAAACCUGCUCCAGAGUGGGGGAGUAACAGUCCUAACGGACUGCUAAUACCGCAUGAUGCCAUGGGUCUUAUGAUUUCAUGGUUAAAGGAGGCCUCUGUUUCAAGCUUUCGCUCCGGAAUGGUCCCGCGUCCUANAGCUUGUUGGUAGGGUAACGGCCUACCAAGGCAACGAUGGGUAGCCGGCCUGAGAGGGUGGUCGGCCACACUGGGACUGAGAUACGGCCCAGACUCCUACGGGAGGCAGCAGUCGAGA